rfam:Felis catus isolate Cinnamon breed Abyssinian chromosome D4, whole genome shotgun sequence.
UAGGAGAGUCAGGGCCAGGACCCCCCCCCCUGAGCCCAGGAUAACCCUAAAAGUAGGGGGGCA